rnacentral:rRNA from 1 species
GUGGGGAAUAUUGGACAAUGGGCGAAAGCCUGAUCCAGCCAUGCCGCGUGUGCGAAGAAGGUCUUCGGAUUGUAAAGCACUUUAAGUUGGGAGGAAGGGUAGUAACCUAAUACGUUGCUACUUUGACGUUACCGACAGAAUAAGCACCGGCUAACUUCGUGCCAGCAGCCGCGGUAAUACGAAGGGUGCAAGCGUUAAUCGGAAUUACUGGGCGUAAAGCGCGCGUAGGUGGUUCAGUAAGUUGGAAGUGAAAUCCCCGGGCUCAACCUGGGAACUGCUUUCAAAACUGCUGAGCUAGAGUACGGUAGAGGGUGGUGGAAUUUCCUGUGUAGCGGUGAAAUGCGUAGAUAUAGGAAGGAACACCAGUGGCGAAGGCGACCACCUGGACUGAUACUGACACUGAGGUGCGAAAGCGUGGGAGCAAACAGGAUUAGAUACCCUUGUAGUCC